UACGGAGGGUGGGAGCGUUAAUCGGAAUAACUGGGCGUAAAGGGCACGCAGGCGGGUUUUUAAGUGAGGUGUGAAAUCCCCGGGCUCAACCUGGGAAUAGCAUUUCAGACUAGAAGUCUAGAGUACUUUAGGGAGGGGUAGAAUUCCACGUGUAGCGGUGAAAUGCGUAGAGAUGUGGAGGAAUACCGGAGGCGAAGGCAGCGCCUUGGGAAUGUACUGACGCUCAUGUGCGAAAGCGUGGGGAGCGAACAGG
rnacentral:rRNA from 1 species